rnacentral:rRNA from 1 species
CCUACGGGACGCAGCAGUGGGGAAUAUUGCACAAUGGGGGAAACCCUGAUGCAGCAACGCCGCGUGAGUGAAGAAGUAUUUCGGUAUGUAAAGCUCUAUCAGCUGGGAAGAAAAAAGACGGUACCUGACUAAGAAGCCCCGGCUAACUACGUGCCAGCAGCCGCGGUAAUACGUAGGGGGCAAGCGUUAUCCGGAUUUACUGGGUGUAAAGGGAGCGUAGACGGCAUAGCAAGUCUGAAGUGAAAGCCCGUGGCUCAACCGCG